AUGAGGGGAGCGGGGCGAAGCUGGGGGGACAGCGGGAGCCUCGGCGGGCGGCAGAGGGCGCCCCGAAUUCCGCCAGAGAGGGGCCGGGAGGAGCCUCCGGCUCGGCUCGGCCGAGGAGGGAGGGAGGAAAGGAGGAGAAGGAGGAGGAGGAGGAGGAGGAGGGAGCUGCCACGUCCUCUGCGCCGAGCGGCGCCAGCCCCGCGCCUCACUCAGCCCCACGUGUGGCGGAGCGGGGGAAGUUGCGGCGGGGAGCCCGGACUCUGCCCCUCGCUGGCCGCCUGUCCCUGCUCUCAGGAGGGCGCAGCUCCGACUGUAGCACUGCCUUCCUGAGUGGGAGAAUCAGAAAGUGAGACCUUCCUGUUCUGUGUCCAGGGUAAAACGCAGAAGCCAGCAGUAGCAGUUGGAGUGAGAAUCCAUUUGACUUUGUGGACCCUCGCCCUUGUUAAUAACAGGAUGGGUUAUUGCUACUGAACGUGGUGUGGGUUUUUUUGAUUUUAAAGAAAGUUAUUAAAUUUAUUAUGUGUUUAAGGGGGAGCAGGGGUUGUUUCAAACACCCAAAGAAAGCUGUAGGAAUAAAUCCUUGCAGGAAAUUCA
rnacentral:lncRNA from 1 species